AUCUCAUGUCACAAUGACUUAUCUAUUUACGGGAAAUGUUAUUGGAACAUGAUUUUGUUAUUUACAUGACAUGACAUGACAUGAUAAGGAUUCUGGAAUGACCUUGUUAAUUGUCCAAGAUUUCGGUAUUUGUAAUCAUCUGGGUUUUAUCCAAUAUGCAUACAUUAUGUAACAUCGAAUUAUAACUAAAAACAGCUGUUUAUAACUUGUGAAAAACAAUGUCAUUGUCACACCCAUAUGCUCAUUUUUCCCCCUCCCAUCCUGCUAUGAAAAUGGGGUAUAAAUAUAACUGACGUAUGAAUACAAUUUGAAUUGGUUAUUGAACACGUCUCUGCUAUUCAUUUCCAAUUUCCAGAGCUCUGUAUGAGUUGGCAAAUAUCCAUCAUCCACAAAGGGCCCAGGCUGAUUUUAUCCCCAACAAACUGGUGUCAGAAGUUUGGGUGCAAUUAGGAACGGAGUUGCAGGUAAGGGGGUCUUUAGCCCCUUGGGGACACAACUUCUGGAAUUUAAGGGUAUCAUGACGGAGUAUUUCUGUCGUGUGUCCUUAAGGGGUUGGGGACCUUUGCCUGCUUCUGCCAUUCUCCCACACAUUGCAUUUCUUGUUUUAAUGGGGUUUUUCACUAUUUACAUUUUUAAAGGGGAUUUUCACAGGAUAAUGUCUUUGGUAGACAUGGUAUUUUGUUAAGUCGUAGGUAGGCUUCUAUUACUCCAUGGGUUGGAGGAUUGCCUUUGGUAGGUAGUAGUAGUUAUUGUGCACAUUUCCUCUUUGGUGAGAGGUUCACCUUUGGCCAGGUGUUAAAAAUAAUUUCAAGCCUUUGGUAGGCUGUGAUGUACCUGUGAUGUACACUUACAUAUGGGAGACGUCCCUAGAUCCCUCUUUGGUAGAGGUUGCCUUUGGUAGGUUGUAAAACAGAUUUCCAGUCUUUGGUGGACUGUGGUAUUUAUUUAACGUAGAUGUCAAUUUUUCAGACUAAAAUGGUUAUUAAAAAAAAAAAAAAAGGGGGGUUAAAAGGUAUGAUGGAUGUUUGGCAUUACUCCGGCUUGCUAAUUUAUGUGCUAUUUUAUGAUGUGCAACGCUAAUUUUAAGCAUAAAGUCUUAAUUGAGGGAAUGUAAAAAGUACAUCUAAUGGUGAUGAGGAAUAAGAAAAAAACUAGAGGUUAUUUAAGGGGGGCUACAAAUUCUAGAACUAACAUGAUUUCUCUGCAUGUAUGUUUGUUUGCAUAAUGAGCCCCUUAUUUUUAUACUUGGUCAAAAGUACUAUAAGCCCACUACACUUUUUCAUGAGAGUGGGAUGUAUGAUUGUUUAUAUGAUGAGCCCUUUAUUUUCAUAUUGGGACAAAAAGUCACUUCAUUCAAAACGUCAAACACCACAUUCUUUCUGCC